rnacentral:rRNA from 1 species
AGAGUUUGAUCCUGGCUCAGGAUGAACGCUGGCGGUCUGCUUAACACAUGCAAGUCGAACGGAGUACCUCGGUACUUAGUGGCGGACGGGUGAGUAACGCGUGAGAAUCUGCCUUCUGGUCGGGGACAUCCAUUGGAAACGAUGGCUAAUACCGGAUAAGCCCACGGGUAAAAGAUUAAUUGCCAGAAGAAGAGCUCGCGUCUGAUUAGCUAGUUGGUGAGGUAAAAGCUCACCAAGGCAUCGAUCAGUAGCUGGUCUGAGAGGAUGACCAGCCACACUGGGACUGAGACACGGCCCAGACUCCUACGGGAGGCAGCAGUGGGGAAUUUUCCGCAAUGGGCGAAAGCCUGACGGAGCAAGACCGCGUGAGGGAGGAAGGCUCUUGGGUUGUAAACCUCUUUUCUUGGGGAAUAAAAAAAUGAAGGUACCCAAGGAAUCAGCAUCGGCUAACUCCGUGCCAGCAGCCGCGGUAAUACGGAGGAUGCAAGCGUUAUCCGGAAUUAUUGGGCGUAAAGCGUCCGCAGGUGGCACUUCAAGUCUGCUGUCAAAGACCGGGGCUUAACCCUGGAAAGGCAGUGGAAACUGAAGCGCUAGAGUGUCGUAGGGGUAGAGGGAAUUCCUGGUGUAGCGGUGAAAUGCGUAGAGAUCAGGAAGAACAUCGGUGGCGAAAGCGCUCUACUGGACGACAACUGACACUCAGGGACGAAAGCUAGGGGAGCGAAUGGGAUUAGAUACCCCAGUAGUCCUAGCCGUAAACGAUGGAUACUAGGUGUGGCUUGUAUCGACCCGAGCCGUGCCGAAGC